ACUCCUGACCUCAGAUGAUCCGCCUGUCUUGGCCUCCAAAAGUUCUGGGAUUAUAGGCAUGAGCCACCACCCCCGGCCUAACUUUUACAUUUCAAUCAAUAAUAAUAAACCUCUGAUGAAGUAAACCACCAACAUUCUUAAGGAUUUAUAAGCCAGAUAUACAUACAAGUAUACCUGUGCCCAUUCAUGAAAGAAUGAUGUGAAAUUCAGUACUUUGGGAAUAAAGAACAGUCUUGCAUUUUCACCACCCUCCUGGAUUUGGGAUGUGACCAGAAUAAGAAAGUUGUAUAGUAACCGACAGGUUAAUAAAAUCGCUUAUAUUGUGAUCGUCAUUAUAGAUUCAGUGAACUCUACUUGGUGGCCAAAAGCAAUGAAAAAUGCUUGUCUUAAAUCACAGAAGACCUGAGGACAAGUGGGUAGUGAAAGUACGCUAGGUAAUCUUAGUUCCUUAGUAAGAUUAACUCCUUGUUACCUCUCAUGUCUGUUGAGCACCAAAUUUGUAAAGGCAGCUACAAAUCCCAGACUUUCCUAAACCAAAAACUGGCUUCACCACCUGCUACUCCCUCUAGAAAUUGGAGAAGACAUCGUAUUACAUAGGUGAACCCAAUAGCAUUGUGACAUGAUGCUGCCACUGCCAUCAUCGAAGUGAUCAUGAAUGAAUCCUCACCAUUCUCAUUCAGGAGUCAAGACCCCAAACAGAAUGAUCUGGUUAACAAAGGCAAGGUCACAGGACUGAGCCCCAGCUGCCAAGAGGCCUGAAAACUUUCAUUUCUCUUUCUUAACUUCUGACUUGGAGACAAGGUACCUUAUUACAAUAAUAGUAUACACAGUGGCAUUUUCCAUUUAAAUAGAAUGGCAUGUUGGCAGUAGGAUUGCUAAAAAAUAAAAGAAAAAAAGAAAAAAGUCUACUACCGUGGCAAGGGAUCAUUUUGAAUGACCACUCCUAGUUCUAUGGGAACUCUACAACUAUCUAAAUGAAGGAACAACUGUAGUUGGUGAGUCUGAGCCUCUCCAUCCACUUUUCACCUCAUCUGUGCAGCACCAGACUGACUUCACUGCACUGGCUUCACUUGAAAAGGUGCUUCUCAACUGCCUUGACCUAGGAGAUGGAUAUAAUGUCUUGGAUUUUGAUGUCUGCUAAUCCCAAAACUGCCCCCAGAGAGCACCUAUCCAAAAUCAUGUUCUUAUCCAAAGUCCUUAACUGUGAAAGGAAAAUUGCUAAUUCUUCUAAUUUCAUUCCUAUAUAAAUCUUAUGUUCUGGCUAUGUGGCAAAUUAAUAUCUUUCCUUGGAACACACUUGUUUUAUGUUUCUGGAGAUACUCUCUGGGUAUAUGGACAAGUAACAGUAACAGGAGAAGUAGUAACCACUAAUAUUUAGUAAGCAUUUACUAUUAACAUAUGCUAGGUACUAUACAAUUAAUAAACAUGCAUUAUCUUAUUCACUACUCACUAUAACCUUAUAAAGGAAGUGACUUUUAUACAACAGUUGAGAAACUGAGCCUUAGAGAUUUAGAGCUAAUGAUUUGCAGAGGGGGGUCUCAGACCAGAUUCUGUCUGACACCAAUAUCCAUAUUUCUAACAGCUACAGAUUCAGCCUCAGUUGUGAAUCAGAAUGCUAUUUAAUUUCUCAUUAUUCCUGCAUAAUUAAAUGAAUGCACUGCAACCCUGCAGCUUCUGUUAUACUACCAGGCAACAUUUCAGAAGACAUUACAGACAGGAAUCCAGUAGGGAGUACUUAAAACUGCAGCAUUCCAGGCAGGUAAAUGGAAUCGAGUCCCAUUUAGUAAACGCUCUAGGGACCAACAAAUGUCUGACCACAAAAGAAGCUACUCAAAUAGCUUCUUCUCAGAUGACUGUGAUCCAUGAUCCUCUUGAUGAGUUCCCUGAGUGGGGAAGGUUUAGAGAGGGUGAAACAGUCUGAAUAUCCAGGAAAACUGAAACUCAUUACAUGAAAGACGAUAUCAUAAAUCAUCAGCCUUAGAAAUCAGUGACCAAUGCCCUCGAGUGUCCAGAUAAGCACCAAUUUUCCUGAAAAUGUGUUUCUUAGAUCUCUAUGGGCAAACAUUUUCGGGCAGUUCAUUUCAAGGAAAGAAAACUUUACAACGUGAGCUUUGAUUUAGGGUUUUACAUCCUCAAUCAGAUCUUCAGGUAAGGUUAGGUUCUAAGUCAUACUGGAGCACCUUAGUAAUGAAUACAUAUGUGCUUUUCCUUGCAUGAUACCAAUAAAUUGGCAAUGAUCCAUUCAUCCUCUCUUGCAUGGUGUUUUUGUUUUGGUGACCCUUGACAUCUUUCUACAAAACAGGUGUCUGAUGUUAGCUUAAGUUAUUUAGCCUUUAGGAAUGAGAAGAAGUUAACUGGUCCAUUAGGGGAUCAAAUCUGUGACUUCGUGCUCUAAUUAAAAUAUCUUAAAACAAUUGAACUAGCAUUUUGAAAAUUCCCAUGUAAAGGACAGUACUUUUAGCUCUUGUAUUGUCAUUAAUAUUUUCAUCAGUUGUCUCUGAAAUUCUUCAUAAAAUGUCUCCCUUCUCCAUUCUAAGGAUAACCCUUCAAUCUGACACAAUUCCAGAUUGGUUCUUCCAGGAUUUCAUCCUCACCUGAC
rnacentral:lncRNA from 1 species